rnacentral:rRNA from 1 species
CAUGCAUGUCUUAGAAGUAUAAUAGGAGGCGAUCCAUAAAUCUGCGAACGGCUCCGUAUAUCUGUUAUCACCCACGGCCACUAAAAAGAUCUCGGAUACCCACGGUAAUUCUGAGGCUAAUACGUAUACGUAGCUUGGGCCUCCAGGACAGGGUGCCCCCCGCAAGGGGGGCGCCUGGGCUAGUCGCUUGUUGCCGGGGGGUCCCGCAAGGGGUCCGCUGUCAUGAUGGCAGGCUAGUGCACCACACUGCGGGGGCGAUAUGUCCCGUAGGGUGCGCCAAGGGAGCCAGCCCUAUUAACUAGGUGUCCGGGUAAGGCCCGGCCGCGGUGAUAACGGGUACAGAGGAUCAGGGUUCGGUCCUGGAGAGGAAGCCUGAGAGAUCGCUUCUACUUCUAAGGAAGGCAGCAGGCGCGCAACGUUCCCAAUGGGGAUACCCUGAGGACGUGAGGGGAUAUAGCAAUGCCCCGCCCAUAAAGCGGGGCAAUUGCAAUGGGGGUCCACUAAACCCUCCACCGAGUAACAAUUGGAG